CACAUGGGAGAAUAUAGGAAAUGAAAAGCUGCCUAUGAAGAUGUUGUCUGAGAAAUGAUGGCUUGAUAUACAUGAAUGAUCUUUUUCAGUCACAUCUGACUCUUCCUGACCCUGUGUUUAUUCACUGACUAAUUGACUAAUCAUCCUUGGAACACUGGCUGCUGAGGCCACUGAGCACUAAUGAAGGAGAGCAGAAAACUGAGCAACAGAAAUUACUUGAAACAAAUAGUGAUUUCUUUAUGUGAGGAAAUGGCCCUGCUUCACGAAAAUGAAGACAGAAUGUGAAGUCAUCAAGUCAACAAGUAUUUAAAAGCAGCUGCUGUGUGCCAGGUGCUGUGCUGAAUGUUGGGGAUUCCAA